rnacentral:tRNA from 1 species
GGCCUCGUGGUCUAGUGGUAUGAUUCUCGCUUCGGGUGCGAGAGGUCCCGGGUUCGAUUCCGGUGAGGCCC